AUAGUACCUCCAAGAAAAGCCAGCGUCAGCGCUGUGAGCUUAGUCGCAGCCAUCGUCUCGGUUUUCAUCUCUUCGACGGAUGCCCGACAAGAGAUCGCCGUGACAACCCUGCUUAUGCCGAACGGCCGUUCUCUGCCUUUGUGCAUGUGGUACUACCCAGACUUCAAACCACUGCCGCAAGGUCCGGACGCUGCGGACGUUCUCAACAUCAUAAGUUUUAGGAGUCAGAGCAGCUGUGAAAAGCCGUAUGGAAUCAAUUUCAAGGAUAAAGUGGUUCUCAUUCAGGACUCCGGGAACUGCACUCUGCGAAAAGCCAUGCAAAUUUACAAGGACGCUGGAGCU